CCUACGGGAGGCAGCAGUGAGGAAUAUUGGUCAAUGGCCGUAAGGCUGAACCAGCCAAGUCGCGUGAAGGAAGAAGGAUCUAUGGUUUGUAAACUUCUUUUAUAGGGGAAUAAAGGUAUCCACGUGUGGAUAUUUGCAUGUACCCUAUGAAUAAGCAUCGGCUAACUCCGUGCCAGCAGCCGCGGUAAUACGGAGGGUGCGAGCGUUAAUCGGAAUUACUGGGCGUAAAGCGCUCGUAGGCGGUAUGUCAAGUCAAGGGUGAAAUCCCCGCGCUCAACGUGGGAACUGCCUUUGAAACUGGCAAACUGGAGUGUGUGAGAGGAUAGUGGAAUUCCAGGUGUAGGAGUGAAAUCCGUAGAUAUCUGGAGGAACAUCAGUGGCGAAGGCGACUAUCUGGCACAUAACUGACGCUGAGGAGCGAAAGCGUGGGUAGCAAACAGGAUUAGAUACCCCAGUAGUC
rnacentral:rRNA from 1 species